rnacentral:lncRNA from 12 species
GUCAUAGUUACUGCACCUCCACGAUUCUGUGAGGAUGAAAUGAAGAAAUACAUGGGCAGAGUCUGCACACAGGCAGGUGGAAGCAGAAGCAGCAGCAGAGGAGGCUGUCGAGGGGAGGUGGGCUCCACCACCACCAUAGAGUCAAGACCCUGAGAUCUUCAACACCUGAGCUGAGAUCAAGAGUUGGAUGCUUAACCGACCGAGCCCCCAGGCGCCCCAAUGUGAACCUUCUUAUAUGUCCUUGAUCUUCAAGUAUGCUGGCAGAUAACAUGUAUCCACAAGCUGCAUGGGUAGUCACCUGUCUACUGUUAUCAAAGGCCAGGGAAUAGAAGGAUUCAAAAGCAUUCUUGGCAUUCUAUAGCCAAGAGGUCAUCAUUGACUUGAUUAAAAAAAAAAAAGUUUCAUUAACAAAAGAGGAACAGAUUGUGCUGAGAUUGAACAGAGAGGCAAAGUAGUGGAGAGAGCUCCGAAGCCCC